GUUACCCUGCUGUGUUCGUGAUGUGACUUUAACGUUUUGGGCCAACAUCCUCCCAACGGGCUUCCAUGUUUCGAGGAAAUAACGCGAUAGGCCUGAGCCAAGGCGGCGUUUCCCGAUUGGGGCCCACCUGCGAAAGCAGGUCCAAAACCCGGUUGCACACGGCAUGUGCGGGGUAACU
rnacentral:other from 3 species